AAUUCCUACAAGAAUUCUGGUUCGUGUAUUUUCCAGACAUACUGGGUGAAUCUACCAGAAUUCUAAUUAAUGCCAGAUUUUUUUCUCAGUGCACGAAAUCAAUGUACGAAAACGGAAAUAGAACUCGAGAAUUCUCUCCGCAAAGGAUAACGAAUUUUUAAAGAUUCGCGCAUACAGGUUCCAAGACCGCGGAGAAAAGAGAUGGAGAGGAGGAACAGGAUAAUGUUGCUGCAUAAGGAUCGGCGACUGUGCCGCGUGGGUGUUGCUCGAACCCGUAUCAGCUCUAAGUGCAGGAAAUAAUACGUGAGAGAGGAGAGAGAAACAAGUUGAAAUUAUUGCAGUCAAUGCACGCCAGCUGAGCCCUACUUCCUGAAGAUACGUCAAGGGCUCGAUGAAGACUCCGUACACGUAUGAAGAUAUACUUCGAGCAGCCUAUAAUUUACCCUUUUUUCAUUGUAUCUCGUCCGGAGGAAGUAACGAGAUACGAGGGGAGGGAAAAGGGAGAGAAGCCCCCGUCACAUGGUAAAAUGCGACGUGCUGUGUUCGCGAUAAAUUUCUGCAAAGAGGGGAAAAAAGCCAAUCGCACUUUAAGAUUAAACGCGGUCGAUGACGGCUCGAAGCCAAUCGCGUUAAUCCGGAGUUUAGCGCUGAAAGAGUUUAACAGCUCUUUAGCUAAGAUGAACAUCGGCGAGGAUUACAUCCUCUAAGACAUCGCUCGUGACAUGAUAUUAUUUGUAGUUCAUAAUUCGUCAUUAUAUUUAUACAAGAUUAUUUUGUAUACAACUUGGAUUUUCGGUUUUUCGGAAAUCAUAUAUA